rnacentral:rRNA from 1 species
GACGGGACCCGCACAAGCGGUGGAUGAUGUGGAUUAAUUCGAUGCAACGCGAAAACCUUACCUACCCUUGACAUGUCUGGAAUCCCGAAGAGAUUUGGGAGUGUUCGCAAGAGAACCGGAACACAGGUGCUGCAUGGCUGUCGUCAGCUCGUGUCGUGAGAUGUUGGGUUAAGUCCCGCAACGAGCGCAACCCUUGUCAUUAGUUGCUACGAAAGGGCACUCUAAUGAGACUGCCGGUGACAAACCGGAGGAAGGUGGGGAUGACGUCAAGUCCUCAUGGCCCUUAUGGGUAGGGCUUCACACGUCAUACAAUGGUCGGGACAGAGGGUCGCCAACCCGCGAGGGGGAGCCAAUCCCAGAAACCCGAUCGUAGUCCGGAUUGUAGUCUGCAACUCGACUACAUGAAGUCGGAAUCGCUAGUAAUCGCGGAUCAGCAUGUCGCGGUGAAUACGUUCCCGGGUCUU